UACGAAGGGGGCUAGCGUUGCUCGGAAUUACUGGGCGUAAAGCGCACGUAGGCGGCUUUCUAAGUCGGGGGUGAAAUCCUGGAGCUCAACUCCAGAACUGCCUUCGAUACUGGAAAGCUCGAGUCCGGGAGAGGUGAGUGGAACUGCGAGUGUAGAGGUGAAAUUCGUAGAUAUUCGCAAGAACACCAGUGGCGAAAGGCGGCUCACUGGCCCGGGUACUGACGCUGAGGUGCGAAAGCGUGGGGAGCAAACAGG
rnacentral:rRNA from 1 species